CACGUGUUUCGCCAAUAUUUGUUCCGCGGUGGAAACACCUCGAUGACGUCACACAGGAGGAAGAACCAAACAAGAUGGCGUCUGACGGAGAAUACGUUGUUUUGGUUGUUAUAGUUUCUAGGUCUUAAUUACAACGUACAUGUGCACAUGUGUGUCGUUUAACAGAGUAAACGUCCUUAUUAAUUGUCUAUAUGCGGAUACAUUAGUCUGUGUGCACUUUGACGUGCUAGCCUAGCCUGCUAGUUAGCUGCUAACUAAGAGAGGCGGAAGUGAUCGACACAUCAAAGCAGAGAUCCAAUGUCGAGUCGCGGGGGCAGCAGCCUAAGCAGUGUAGCCCAGACUUUCCUCUCCCCAGCCGCUACGUCCAUCUCUUCCCAGGGGAUCCCGAGGCGUUCCCAGACCAGCCGGGAGACAUAGUCUACCCAAUGUGUCCUGGGUCUUCCCCGUGGCCUCCUACAGUUCGGACGUGCCAUAAACACCUCCCUAGGGAGGCGUUUUGGUGGAAUCCUGACCAGAUGCCCGAACCACCUCAUCUGGCUCCUUUCCAUGUGGAGGAGCAGCGGCUUUACUUUGAGCUCCUCCCAGAUGACAGAGCUUCUCACCCUAUCUCUAAGGAAGAGCCUUUUUUCGGCCGCUUGUACCCGUGAUCUUGUCCUUUCGGUCAUAACCCAAAACUCAUGACCAUAGGUGAAGAUGCGAACGUAGAUCGACCGGUAAAAUGAGAGCUUUGCCUUCCGGCUCAGCGCCGCACCGAUCCGCCUGUCAAACUCACAAGCCUCUCUUCCCUCACUCUUGUUCUAUUUAAACAAGUUGUCAGAUCUCACGAGAGAAACAAGCAACCAGCUCUAUUACUUCUUCUUCUUACUGGCAGUUUGCAGCCAUGACUUGAAAGGUUCAUACUGCUAUACAUUUAAGGUACUCAAAGGGCUUUGACACUAUUUCCACAUUCACCCGUUCACACACACAUUCACACACUGAUGGCGGGAGCUGCCAUGCAAGGCAAUAACCACGACUCAUCAGGAGCAAGGGUGAAGUGUCUUGCCCAAUGACACAAUGGACGUGACGAGGUUGGUAGAAGGUGGAGAUCGAACCAGGAAUCCUCAGGUUGCUGGCACGGCCACUCUCCCAACCGCACCAAUCCUUUUCAGUGUUUUAUGCAACUGACUGACUUACCUCUCUAUUUCUGGAGCUAAAACUCUGGAGCUUUUGAAGUGUAUUUCUGGUCUUGUCAUCCUCGUCCGGACAGAAGGGCGACACGGCAGUGCGGCUGGAUCAAAAGAGACGUCGGAGACGCUUUACUGAAGUAAAAGUGGCUUUAUUUCCAGUGAGCGUCAUUUACUGCAGUUCCUGGGAGGAGGUCAGGUCAAAUAUGGAGGACUCCUCUCCCGGAGAAGCCAAACCAUCUUUUUAAAGAACACUGAACUGCAGUGUUGGGACUUUGUAACGUGUUACUGUAACGCCGUUAUUUUCGGCGGUAACUAGUAGUCUAACACGUUAUUUUAUUAUAUUCAGUAACUCAGUUAUUGUUACUACAUGAUGCGUUACUGCAUUAUUUUACGUUAUUUUUUAUGUGGUAUUGUGGAGAAACUGAGAUGAUUUGAGUGUGUUUUACUGGAGAGCUGCAGAAGAAGCGCUGGGAAAAAAGCGCGCACUGUGUGUGUGUGUGUGUGUGUGUGUGUGUGUGUGUGUGUGUGUGUGCGUGUGUGCGUGUGUUUGUGUGUGUGUGUGUGUGUGUUUACUUAGAAGACAUCAUUUUGGAGCCAAAGUCGAGUUUCUUCUUAACAUGGAUAUAUUCUCAGAACUUUUAUUUUGUCGAGCACCGAGAAAAGAACAUUUACGUUAAAUGUAAGUUGUGUCUUGGAUCAUAGAUCCUAUCUACUGCCCAAAACAGCAAUUCAAAUCUGCUGAAACAGCUACCAGAGCAACAUGCUUCAACGAAGCUCGUAAAGAGAGACACACUUCACCUUCACCUCCAACACCAUCGAAGCAACAGCGGCUGGAUUUUAUCAGAGGGACUGCUAGCCAGGACAGCAUUGAUAGAGACAUCACAGUGUAUGUGCUAGAAGACAUGCAGGCUAUUUCUACAGUGGAGUCACCUGAUUUAAGGCAGCUAAUUAGCAUGAUAUCUGGCGUCAAACAGCAAAUGGCAUGGAAAACAUGUUCCACGUACCUGGACACAGUGGACAGUGACUACAUAAAAAUUGAAAGCAAGUUAAAGAAGACAAACCAAGCUCUGCCUCUGCAUGCUCAUCAUUCAUCACUGAAGGUACACACACUCUCUCAAUUCUCUUAUAUACUCUUUCAUUCUAGACUUCUAGAGUGCUUGAUUAUCACAUCGCUGUAAAUGUAUAGACUAUAACGUUCACAAACAUAAAGAGGGAUCCUAGUGGGCCAGGCCAAUAUUUCUUUAUCUCUAACCUAAAACUGGGGACAUGUGUAGAGUGUUCUGGGCUUCAGUAAAGUGUUGAUCUCAUGAAGUCAUGAUUUUAUUUCACAAUUCCUUGAGGGAAAAAAAAUACCUAGUUAGGCUUUGUGUAUGUCAUGUGUGCCUUCCUUGAGUGAAGCCAGGUUUACAGCUAUGUUGUGCCAUGUUUUUGUGCUAUUUGUUACAUAUGUAUGUUAUGUUGCAGCUAUUUAAAAUAGUUUUGUCAAUUUUUUCUGGCGUGAAAUGAAUUGGCCCUUUGAAAAAUA